rnacentral:rRNA from 1 species
UACGUAGGGUGCAAGCGUUGUCCGGAAUUAUUGGGCGUAAAGAGCUCGUAGGCGGUCUGUCGCGUCGGCUGUGAAAUCCCGGAGCUCAACUCCGGGUCUGCAGUCGAUACGGGCAAACUGGAGUACUGCAGGGGAGACUGGAAUUCCUGGUGUAGCGGUGAAAAUGCGCAGAUAUCAGGAGGAACACCGGUGGCGAAGGCGGGUCUCUGGGCAGUAACUGACGCUGAGGAGCGAAAGCGUGGGGAGCGAACAGG